AUUGAACGCUGGCGGCAGGCCUAACACAUGCAAGUCGAACGAGUGGCGGACGGGUGAGUAAUGUCUGGGAAACUGCCCGAUGGAGGGGGAUAACUACUGGAAACGGUAGCUAAUACCGCAUACCAUCGGAUGUGCCCAGAUGGGAUUCGCUAGGAGGUGGGGUAACGGCUCACCUAGGCUACGAUCCCUUGCGGGGCUGAGAGGAUGACCAGCCACCAUGGAACGGAGCAACGGUCCAGACUCCUACGGGAGGCAGCUGUGGGGAAUAUUGCACAAUGGGCGCAAGCCUGAUGCAGCCAAGCCGCGUGUAUGAAGAAGGCCUUCGGGUUGUAAAGUACUUUCAGCGAGGAGGCGUUACUCGCAGAAGAAGCACCGGCUAACUCCGGGCCAGCAGCGGCGGUAAUUC
rnacentral:rRNA from 1 species